ACUUUAUUGGCUCUGUACGAUCUCCUUUAUCGCAGUAUAAUUUGCAUGUUGCAGGAUUCACUAUUGUCACUACUGUUUAAACUUUAGACAAGCAGGAACUUAAGGUCACUUUUCUGCAGCCCUGUGAGCAGUGGACAGGCCGCAUGGCUCUGAACAGUAGUGUCCUGGCGGGAGAGCACAGAGGCCUGGCUCCGAUUUAUACUCUGGUAUAGAGGCAGUGGACUGUCCACAGUAGUGACACAGAUCAUGGAGUGUGCUGGAGGUGAGCAGGACCAAGUGGGCUCAGGUGGCACUGCAGUCAGGCACUAUGGACCCCACCACUGCCACCUUUUCAGCUCUUGCCCCUUGUUCCUGGGACCAAACGGCUUGCUGUGAGGAGCUGGGUCCUGGACAGCUGAGCAGGGGGAGACCGUACUGGCGGCUGUGAGGCUGGCAGGCUGGGAAGCCAUUGGGCACUCUGAGCAGGGGACCUAGUCUGAGUCCUGUGUUCAUGGUCCCUUUGGCUGCUGAGAGAAGGGAGAACCCUGCCAGGGUAGCAGCAGCUUUGUGGUCAGAUUCUGAGUGUCUGUAGAAGGUAGAGCCAGCUGGAGAGGAGGAGGACUCCGUGUUUGCAAGAGUCCACCUGUGUUACUGAAGAGUGGCACUUCAUGGGCUGAGAUGGGGAAGUGCAGAUCCUGUGGAACUCCCAGGGGCAACUGGAGGUGCAAGUCUGGGGUCAGGGGAAGUAAGGUCCUAAGUUGUCCCUUUGGAGCUGCCAUGUCCUGGUGGGAAGAAAACCAGGCUCACACUUGGAGUAGUAAAAAUGGAAGGUGAUCAUCUGGGUCAUGAGAGAUGAGGACUGAGAACACACCCUGCUGUGUAGCCACAAACUCUUGAAAGGACAGAAUUAAGGUUAUGUGUCAGUAGCUCUAGAUUUUUUUUUUUUGUUUGUUUCUUUUCUUGAGACAGAGUCUCACUGUGUCACACUGGGCAGAGUGCCAUGACAUCACAGCUCACAGCAACCUCAAACUCUUGGGCUCAAGCCAUUCUCUUGCCUCGGCCUCCCAAGUAACUGGGACCACAGGUGCCUGCCACAAUGCCCGACUAUUUUUUUGGUUGCAGUUGUCCUUGUUUGGCAGGCCUGGGCUGGAUUCAAAUCUUCCAGCUCUGGUGCAUGUGGCUGGUGCCCUCGCCACUGAGCUAUAGGCUCUGAGCCAAGAAACUCUAGUUUUUAAUUUAAAAAAGCUAAAUGUAUUGAUUGUGUGAAUAAGUAUCAACUACUUGUAAGACCUGCGACAUUUGCUUUUAAUAAUUUUGUAUAAACAAUUACUUGGAGUUUAAGUUGUUACCAAGCUUCUAUUUGGUAUUAUGUUGAAUCUGAAAAAGAUGGGGUUCCAUAUAAAAUUACAAUUUUGAAGUAGUUCCUAGUACUUGGGAGAGGUGUUAUAUUCAUGGCUAUGUACACAUUGAAUAGUACCUCGGUGGGUUUGUUAGAUAAGUGGGUAAAAACUGGUGUAACCAGGUGAACUCUUAAACGGAUCCGGUGUUGUAUAAAAGAGUAGUAGGCUGUUGGUGGAGAUGGUAAUUUGAGGAGUUUGAAUCUGCAGCAUUUGGGGCAUCCUGGCAUCUGCCUGUGAGAAGAGUGGAACUGAACAUUUAUUGGUGGCAGGGAAACCCCCAUAGUAGCCAGAUCACACCAUAUCUGAUUUGGUAUUAUGGUUUUGGCAGUGUUGGACUUCUGUCACAACUCACCCUGUUGUGAGUUAUUCAUUUGAUACCACCAAACCAUGUCAUCUCCAGAGUUUGCACAUCAGAUCUCAGCUGCUAGGUGACUCCAGUUCAAUCAGGGUCUCUGUGAUUUCUUUCAGGAGAAAUCCUCUCCAAGGAGAAAUCUUCUCUCCGUGGUCUGUUCUUUCCCCAGGACAGUGGCACCCAGGUUGGAGCUGGGUGUGUGAAGGGAGCAUGCAGCCCUGCUCCACCUUCAGCAGAGGGGUGCUGGAUUGCCUCCCACUGGUCAUGAGAGGGUGUCAGGGGGUCUUCUAUGUUGAAAUACCAUGUUGAGCUUUCUCUUUGCCAUUUUUAAUAUUAUAAACUGGAUUAUUUUUGAGAAAUGUGCAUAGAUAUAUCAUCAUUAGGAUUUCAUUGUUUUAUUAUUUUAGCUCUUUGGGAAUAGAAACUCCCAUUUUCUUGUUUUGCUGUGCAACUGCUAAUUGUAUAUCCAGAUGUAUUUUCAUCUAUGUAUACAUGAUCUUUAGCACCCCAGAUUGCCCUCCAUACCCCUUGUAGGCAACACUGAUUCCCCAAAGGUAACUGCUGUUCUGACUUCUAUUGUCAUAGAUUCAUUUUGCCUGUCCUUGAACUGCAUAACUGGAAUAUUCCAUAAAUGCUAUUUUGCAUCUGGUACAAAUGGCCUCUUAACAAAAUGUAUGUCUGUUGUAUGAAGUUAAUGCAUUUACAUCUGGAACGUAUAUUUAGGAAUGAAUUAAGUGUGAAAUCAGGGACUGCCUGCAUGAUCACUCACACAUGGAGAUAGGUCACUGCAAUCUGGUAUUGUUUCUGUUUUUAACAAACUAAGCUGAUAGAGUUGGGAUUUUUAGAGAUUUUGGAAGUCUGAAGGACCAGCAGUGCGUUUUAUUUCCAGGUCAAAUUGCUAAUAAAGUCUGACCUAUAAUAGCCCUUGUAAGUAGAAAAGGCAGGAGCAAGCAGCCCAAGCUGUCUGCCCUGCACCAGGCCUCGGUGUGCACAUUGACCCAGAUAACCAUGGUGGGCAGUCAAGAGAGUCCUGCCUCUGCUGUGUCUAGUAUGAUUUCAGAUGAGUAGCCCUGUGUAGGCCACCAAAAGUGCCCAGGGUUAGCCAGAGGAGGUUUGGAUAGAGGCCAGGCAUCACAAGUUUUAUUGCAAAGUUGGAGGAAAUUGGAGUAUGUGUUAGGGGAUUUAAUGAGUUGGUGGGUUUCACUGUGUUAAAAGUUUUGGCAUGGCAGUUUUGAGAAUUCAUGAUGGUUUUCUUUUUGUGUGUGUGAAAGACCCCUGGCUAGAGUGCCACGGUGUCAUAGUUCACAGCACCUCACACUCUUGGGCUCAAGUGAUCCCCUUGCCUCAGCCUCCGAGUGGCUGAGACUGCAGGCACCGCCACCAUGCCUGGCUAGUUUUUCUUUUUUUUUUUCUGAGACAGAGUGUUAAGCUGUCGCCCUACAUAGAGUGCGGUGGUGUCAUAGCUCACAGCAACCUCCAACUCUUGGACUUAAGCAGUCCUCUUGCCUCAAUCUCCCAGAGUGUUAGGAUUAUAGGCACGCCAGCUAGUUUUUCUAUUUUUAGAGAUGGGGGUCUUGCUCUUGCUUAGACAAGUUUCAAAUUCCUGAGCUCAGGCAAUCUACCUGCCUUGGCCUCACAGAGUGCUGGAAUUAUAGGCGUGAGCCACUUCGCCCAGCCUAUGAUUGUUUUCAGUUUUUAAAACAUAUUUUUGGGUGAGAUUCAAACAACUGUUUAAGGAAUCCAUUUAGCACCAGGAACCCCGGAGUGCAGCAUGGGAAUGGGUGAGACCUGAGAGGUCUUUGACUGGCUGCCUGUGUGGGCUGGUGGCUAAUGCCUGGUGAAUUUGGGAGACUCUGGGGUUGCUGCUAUGUGUUUAAAACAGGAGUAACGAUCCCCAUCAUCCCAGCUGCAUCAGGACAGUGCCAUGACCAAGCCAGGAGGAGCAGCAAGAUUCCAGGUCCUCUUGAGUGGUGGCCUCUUCCCUCUUUUAUCACUGGAAAAGAAAAAAAAGAUGAUUUUUGUGGUUCUUUUGUGUUCGAAUGAGUAAAAAAUUGAUGCAUUAAUAAAAUGGACUUAAUAUACCACAGAAGAUGUGGCCAUUCAGGCCAAAAAGUGUUUCUUCAGCAAUCUUCUGCUGUGUUUAGGAGGAGUGUUGACUCCUAAACGUGAGAGUAAAACCUCAUCUGAGAGAUUGCAUGUGUGCAAUAAUAUCACAAGUCUGUGAUAUUUUUUAAACAGAGAAUGAUUACCCUAAAGCCUCCUACCUCACUCAGGGAUCUUCAUUUCUUUUAUCUUCUUGCCCCAUCUGUAUAUACAACAGAACCACAGUCAGAGAGGGGUGCAUAUUUUUUGUUGUAUUUUAUCUAACAUCUUACAACAAAUACAAAAUAGAGUUCAGACCUAAAGAAUGUGGCUUCUUUUUUAACUGGUGAUUUUCUUACUUUUUUCUUUUUCUUAUUCUUUUCUUUGCUUUUCUUUUUUUUUGAGACAGUUGCCCAGUUGACAGUUUUGCUCUGUUGCCCAGCCUAGAAUGCAGUGGCCUCAUUACAGCUCACUGCAACCUCCAACUCCUGGGUUUAAGUGAUCCUCCCACUUCAGCCUCCCAAGUAGCUGGGACUACAGGUGCCCACUACUAUGCCUGGCUAAUUUUUUCUUUUUCUUUUUUUUUUUUUUUCAGUUUCUGGCUGGGGCUGGGUUUGAACCUGCCACCUCCAGCAUAUGGGGCCUGCGCCCCACUCCUUUGAGCCAUAGGCACGGCCCAAUUUUUUCCAUUUUUAGUAGAGAUGAGGUCUUGGUCUUGCUCUUGCUCGUGCUGCUCUCAAACUCAUGAGCACAAGCAGUCCUCCUGCCUUGACCUCCCAGAGUGCUGGAUUACAGGUGUGAGCCACUGUGCCCUGGUUUUUUUUUUUUUUUUAAAGAGACAGAGUCUCACUUUGUCACCCUUGGUAGAGUGCUGUGGCGUCACAGUUCACAGCAACCUCCAGCUCUUGGGCUUAGAUGAUUCUCUUGCCUCAGCCUCCCGAGUAGCUGGGAUAACAGGCGUCCGCCACAACGCCCGGCUAUUUUGCUGCAGUUUGGCCGGGGCUGGGUUUGAACCUGCCACCCUCGGUAUAUGGGGCUGGUGCCCUACUCACUGAGCCACAGGCACCGCCCUGAAAGCAGUGUUUUUUAAACCAUUCAUGAAAUCAAUUAAGUAGCUUCUGACCAGAGAAAGGAGAUGAAAUAGAAAACUCACAAUACCUGUCAGGAAGAAUAAAUACAGUUUCAUGAACCUUUUCAGUUAUGUGCCUGUACCUAGCAAAUCACCACAUAAUGAGAAAAACAGGGGUUGCGUCAAUGAGGAAAACAGCGCCACUUCAUGGCCGCAACUGCAGCAUGGUCUUACUUGAAGGAGAUGGUAAGGCCCCAUUUUAGAGCUGCUUGGAGCUGCUGUCUAGGCAUAGAGCAGUCAGCAUCUGCUGUCCUUACUGAAGAGGAAAUGUAUUUGUCAUUUAGACAUUGGAAUGGUUUUGAGAGGACAUUCCUUGGGGUUGCCCUAUGGAGAGGGGAUUCUUGGAGGUUGUUUCUUCCUUGCAAGACCAGUCUGUUACUGCCAGUUCCCACCUUCCCAGGCUCCCUCUGGAGGCUCUCCAGAUGUCAUGCCCCUUUCCUUCUUGCUCUGUGUUCCCAGAGCAUGCUCCACCUGCCUUCUGGAGCAGGCUCCUCUGCGGGUAUGGGGAGUCUCUCUCGCUACAGAGACAGCUCCAGUUCUUACCUCUUUUGGGGCAGAAGCCCUGACUGGGACAGAGUGUACCUCCAGCUGGCCAUGGCCUUCAGGCUAUUUUUGGAAGGGAGAGUGGAUAGGUGAGUCUUAGGUAACAAAUGCCACUAUGAGCACAGCAAGAAGGGGCUAUGUGUUCUAAGCGCUCAGGCCACCCCAGUAUUAGGCUUGGAGCUGCUGAGUAGCACAGGGCUCAUUCAGGACUUCCUCCUGCACCUUGGGGAAGCCUAGGCCUCCCCUCUCCUCCGUGGGGGACUGUUCAUCUGUGUUCUGGUUCACAUCUGCUCUCAUGGAUUCUAUGACAUAGACGUUCCCUGUACCUGAGUGGAACUAAGAACACAUGGACUAACUUCACUUCAGCCAAAAGCUUUGAGAGCUUUGUACUUAGGCUUUACCCACACUGGGUUGGUGGGGCUGGAGAGCGCCUUCUCUCUCGUGCAGAAAGACAUUGAAAGCCAUGAUUUGGAGACUUGUGGUUGUUCCUUUCCACUCCUUCCCCUGUGAAGAACUCAUGGCUUUCCAGAGGGCUCCUGGAUGAUGGUGACGCUAGGAGCUGAGAUAGUGUUUAGAGUGCCGCGCAACCACUUGCUUUCCUCCUAUGCUCACUAUGUGCAGUUAGUGGGUCUCAGCAUCCUCCUCAUUCCUUCCCUCUGUCCCCAGCCUUGAGCAGACCUCUCCAUAGGGUUCCUGCACACUGAGGGCUGCAUGGUGGGUGCUCCCUGAUGAGUGACGAAGAGAAGGCUGCCAUGCACGUGUUCUGUAAGGAGAGUGGGGCCCAGCAGAGUGGCUGUGCAGGGUGUGAGGGAGGGAGGGGUGAGAGGCAGGCAGGAGGUGUCUCUGCAGGUAGGGUUGGGGAGGGGCUAGAGGAGUGGGCACAGGGCACCAGGUGGCUGAGGCAUCAUGGAUUGCAGAGGCCAGGGUGGGGCUGGCAUGGUAGGGGGCUCUGAAGGCUGAGUGCUCAGUCUAAAGCCAGUGGGGAAUGUGAUCGCAACCAGGGAGUGGAGUAGGCAGCCCAGAUGAGCUGAGCUCCUGGUGUAGGGGCUGAUCUGAUGGUACGGCCAUCUUGUGGGUAAUAAGGCCUGAGUGCCAGCAGAUGGGCAUUUUCUGCCCAUAGCAGAAGCUUGGACCAGGUUGUUUCUAGGGCUCCCCAAAGCCCUAGAAUGCUCUUCCCAGAUUUCCUAACCACAGAUCAGUUGAUGGCCCGGGCCCCUCAACAUUGCCUGCUGUAAUUGCCAUAGACUUCAUCUUCUCUCAGGAGGAUGGUUCUGGAAUUGAGGCAUGACAUGCUCUGUGUUCUUCCUUAGGGCGUGGCGGUUUGUGGGGGUCAAGCUCUCAUGGCUGCAGCUAGUGUUACCCCCUCUGGCUCUCUGGACCUGCUGCAGCCUGGCUUCUCCAAGAGCCUUCUGGGGACCAAGCUAGAGGCCAAGUACCUGUGUUCUGCCUGCAGGAACGUCCUACGUAGGCCCUUCCAGGCCCAGUGUGGCCACCGGUACUGCUCCUUUUGCCUGACCACCAUCCUCAGUUCCGGGCCUCAGAAUUGUGCCGCUUGUGUUCAUGAGGGCAUAUACGAAGAAGGUGUUUCUAUUUUAGAAAGCAGUUCGGCUUUCCCAGAUAAUGCUGCCCGCAGGGAAGUGGAGAGCCUGCCAGCCGUCUGUCCCAGUGAUGGGUGCACCUGGAAGGGGACCCUGAAAGAAUAUGAGAGCUGCCACGAAGGUCGCUGCCCGCUCAUGCUGACUGAGUGCCCUGCCUGCAAAAGCCUGGUCCGCCUUGGUGAGAAGGAGCGCCACUUGGAGCAUGAGUGUCCAGAGAGGAGCCUGAGCUGCCGGCACUGCCGGGCACCCUGCUCUGGGACAGAUGUGAAGGCUCACCACGAAGUCUGCCCCAAGUUCCCUUUGACUUGUGAUGGCUGUGGCAAGAAGAAGAUCUCUCGGGAGAAGUUCCAGGACCACAUCAAGACCUGUGGCAAGUGUCGAGUCCCUUGCAGAUUCCACACUGUCGGCUGUCAGGAGACGGUGGAGAGAGAGAAACAGCAAGAGCACGAGGCACAGGGGCUGCAGGGGCACCUGGCCAUGCUGCUCAGCUCCGUCCUGGAGGCAAAGCCCCUUUCAGGAGACCAGAGCCAGGUGGAGUCAGAGAUCCUGCAGAGGUGUGAAGCGCUGGAGAGGAAGACGGCCACCUUUGAGAACAUCGUCUGUGUCCUGAACCGGGAGGUGGAGAGGGUGGCCAUGACUGCUGAGGCCUGCAGCAGGCAGCACCGACUGGACCAAGACAAGAUCGAAGCCCUGAGUAACAAGGUACAGCAGCUGGAGAGGAGCAUCGGCCUCAAGGACUUGGCAAUGGCUGACCUGGAACAGAAGGUCCUUGAAAUGGAGGCGUCCACCUACGAUGGAGUCUUUAUCUGGAAGAUUUCAGACUUUGCCAGGAAGCGUCAAGAGGCUGUGACUGGACGUACACCUGCCAUCUUCUCCCCAGCCUUCUAUACCAGCAGAUAUGGCUACAAGAUGUGUCUGCGCAUCUACCUGAACGGCGAUGGCACGGGACGAGGGACACACCUCUCUCUCUUCUUUGUGGUGAUGAAAGGCCCGAAUGACGCUCUCCUGCGGUGGCCCUUCAACCAGAAGGUAACCUUAAUGCUGCUGGACCAGAACAAUCGGGAACAUGUCAUUGAUGCCUUCAGGCCCGACGUGACCUCGUCCUCUUUUCAGAGGCCAGUCAACGACAUGAACAUUGCCAGCGGCUGCCCCCUCUUCUGCCCCGUCUCCAAGAUGGAGGCCAAGAAUCCCUAUGUGCGGGAUGAUGCCAUCUUCAUCAAGGCUAUCGUGGAUCUGACAGGGCUCUAGUCACCACCUACCAAAGUUCAGGGCAGUCAGACACAGCCAGUUCAGUGAGGGGCUGCCCACUCCAGGCCAGGGCCUCACCGCACCAGGGUGGGUGGGGGCUGGGCUUUGCUGUCGGCCAAAGGCCAGGUCAGCAUCACACAAUGGAAGGCGCCAUUGAUCAGUCCUUAGAUUUCAGAGACUUCAUGGAGCUACAAGGGAGAUGGCUUCAGCCUGAGGCCCUGGUGGGAUCAGUUGAGGAUCUUCAAGGAUUCCUGGCAGUAACCGCCCUCACUGUUCUAUAAAGGAAAGAGAGGCCCCUGGGAGGGUUGGGGGCGCUUGGACAGGAGCACAUUCCACAAGGGGCUUCAGAGCAGGGUGGCAUGAGGAGUGCAGUGGGCAGGGCUCUCUGUGCUCAGGAGGUGGGACUCCCCCAGGCCAUCCACAGAGCAAGGAAGCAGUGCUGUCCAGUUCUGCCCUCUGGCCCCUGGAGAGAAGGGAGCAUUGUUAGACCUCUGGGUGCUUGUCUGGUGCUGCAGAGCUGGGCCAGUGGCCAGAAGAGGGUGCUGGUCCUGGGCAGUCUGGCCCACUGAGCGGUGUGUGUGAACUGCACAUCCAGCCAAGACACCAUCAUUAAACUGCUGAGACUGUGCUGUGAGUGGUGUCCAUUUGGCUCCAGGUUGCCAGCUUCUAGCAGUGGCAGUGGUGACCCUCUGUGGGAGCCCCAUGGCUUCUUCCACUCCCAUGGACAUCGCCUCAUGGUGUGCCUGGCCCUGCCAGCUGGGCCCAUCUACUCUGUUGCAUCAACACUCUUAAGUUGUUUCUCCCAUCCAGCCUUGAAGUUCAUUUUUUUCUUCUUCCCUGUCCAGCUUCUCUCACAGGGCUCCUGUGAGCAAGGCCACACACAGCCCAUCUGGCCUGGGCCAGGCCACUGCAGGAGCUCUGGAGUUAAACAGGUGGGGUGAGGAUGGGUUGUGCUCAGGAUUCCAGGGUGUGCUGGGCUUGGUGGGAGUCUUCAUUAGGGGUCCGGGUAAAGCUUGACUUCCUCUUGAUGUCUUCACUCUGUCCUACAAUGUGAGAGGUUAACAGGAUGGAAAAGCUUAGAGAACAGCAGCCCGAGCACCAGGACAACCCGGGUACACCUGCCCUCCCUGUGUGUGCCGUGAUAGAUGGGAGCACGGUAGCUGUCACCUAGGCUCUCCAGGGCCGCUCAUCCUGAUGCACAUUCCUAUUCUACCUGGAUUUUUAUGAGUUUUGUAUGUUUGUGUAUCCACAGAUAAGGAUAUUGCAUUUUAAAAGUAUAUGGAAAUCGUAUACUGAAUUGUCCUCAGGUAGUUGUUUUCUUAGCUCUCCAGUCCAUGCACCCCUGAGUCCUGUCUUCAGGGUGCUGGCCAUGAGAGGCAGUGGCACAGACUCCUCUGUUUUUUGGUUAGCCUGGAAGGAGAGCUGAGGGGUCCCUGCCUUUCCUAGGGGUUGUCAGCUCGCUCUGCGAACUAGCAGGAGGGGAGGUCACGAUUACCUCCUGUCCCCCUAGCAGUUCACGUUGCUGGUCUCUUGCCUCAUGUCUGCAAGAUGUGAGGGGCUUGUCAUUGUGCCUCGCCUCUCCCUAAGGACUCGGUGCAGUUGGACAUCUUUGUCCAGUUUUCUUGCUCACUUGGAAUCUCUCAAUCUCAUGUGAAGUGCCUUUUUUUUUGUUUUUGUUUUUGAGAUGAGAUCUUACUCUUGCCCAGGCUGGAGUGCAGCAGCACCAUGGUAACUCACUGUAACCUUGAACUCCUGAGUUCAUUGAUUCUGCCACCUCAGCAUCCCAAAGUGCUGGGGUUACAGGUGUGAGACACUCAACCCUGUCUUUGUCCAUUUUUCUACUGGGCUGUUAGUCUUGUUUUCUUGCUCAUUAGUAAGAGUUCCUAAUAUUUCAGAAUACUAGUCUUUGGUUUUGUCUUUGAGCUGUGUUUGAAAUGUAAAAUUUAGAUAGGAUCAGUUGAAUAAUCUUAACCAUUAUGAAUGGUGCUGUUUCCAACUUAAGAAACCUUAACCUUCCCAUAGGUGAAAGAUACUGUCGUGUUUUCUUCCACUGGUUUUAGUUUUUUUUUAACAUAGUUUACCUAUUUGGGGAUUUAAUUGUAUGUGAUUUUUUUUUUUUUACUAGGACAAUGCAGGGUAAAGAGAUUAUUGAGAUCAUUUCCUUUCCUGUAAAAUGAAAUAGAACUCAGAGGUAGGAAAAAUAGGAAAGUGUCCUCAACAGUAGAUGAAGGGUUUGGGCCCAUUUUGGAAGGUGGAAGGCAUUGGGGCGUGUUGUAACUGAGCAUAGGAUGGCUGAGGGUUAGGAGUUGCAGAGGGGAGAGUCAAAGCAAAAGGUGUCUGGUCUGCUCAGACUGGGCAGAGCAACCACCAGGCCAGGUCCAUUGCUGUCCAGUACAGCUUGGGGUGGUCCCUAUCCCUUGCCUCCCCUAAGCAGAGAGCAAGGUUGGCCUUCAGGCUGGAAAAGGGGUAGAGGUUUGCCGGAAACUUUAUUAUUUUUUUUUUUUGUAGAGACAGAGUCUCACUUUAUGGCCCUCGGUAGAGUGCCGUGGCCUCACACAGCUCACAGCAACCUCCAACUCCUGGGCUUAAGCGAUUCUCUUGCCUCAGCCUCCCGAGUAGCUGGGACUACAGGCGCCCGCCACAACACCCGGCUAUUUUUUUUGUUGUUGCAGUUUGGCCGGGGCGGGGUUUCAAUCCGCCACCCUUGGUAUAUGGGGCCGGCGCCCUACUCACUGAGCCACAGGCGCCGCCCGCCGGAAACUUUCUUAAGCCCCCGCUCCAGGUGAAGACACUUGGGGGACUGGUUGGUCCGGGGGAGACAGAAGGCAUCUGGGCAGGCCUGUAGCAGGUGUGGUCUGCUGACAUCGAGUCCCUGGUGAUUAGGGAGUUACCAGUAAUUGAAGGACAUUCCAUCACCCUUAAAAGAAACUUUCAAUUGUCAGUUACUUGAUUCCCCCUUCCCCAGCCCCUAACAACUUUGCAUCUGUAAUACUUUCUGUUUGUGUGGAUUUGCCUAUUAUGGACACUCUUUUUAAAAAGAAUCCAAUAGGACGGCUCCUGUGGCUCAGUGGGCUGGGCUCUGGCCCCAUAUACUGAGGGUGGCAGGUUCAAACCUGGCCCCGGCCAAACUGCAACAAAAAUAGCCAGGUGUUGUGGCGGGCGCCUGUAGUCCCAGCUACUCAGGAGUCUGAGGCAAGAGAAUCACCUAAGCCCAGGAGUUGGAGGUUGCUGUGAGCUGAGAUGCCACAGCACUCCACUGAGGGUGAUAAAGUGAGACUCUGUCUCUACAAAAAAAAAGAAUCCAAUAAUAUGUGACCUUUGGUGCUGGCUUCUACUCAGCAUAUUUUCAAGUUCAUCUGUGCUGUAGUAUGUCAGAAUUUCGUUCCUUUCUUACGGCUGAGUACUAUUCUGUUGUAUGGAUAGACCAGAUUUUAUCUGUUCAUCUGUCAGUGGACAGUUGGUUUAUUUCUACUUUUUUUUGCUAUUAUGGAAAUGCUGCUGCAGACACGUGUACAAGUUUUCAUGUAGUCACAUGUGUUCAGUUCUCUUGGGUGUACCUGGGAGUGGCAGCUCUGUGUGUCCAGCUCUGAAGGAACUGCUCAGCUGCUUCCCAUGGUGGCCACACCACUUUGCAUGUCCACCAGGAAGCAGCUUUAAUUUGUGCUUGUAUUUGAUCUCCUCGUCCAUAUCUUUCACAUUAACAAUUAUGUCAUAUGUUUUCAACCCCAAUAAUUUUUUUAAGUUUCACAGUUGUUGCCAGGAUUUUGUGUAUUUAUUUGCUCACAGCUGCUCCAUGUCUGGCCUUGUUUGUGUUCCAUGACUUGAGAAAGAACAUCACUUAACAUUCCUUGAGGAGUUCUGGGUGGUGACCUUAUGGGAACUAUGUGUUUCAGGUGUCUUUAUUUUACCCUUGGUUUUUUUUUUUGUUUUUUUUUAAACAGAGUCUCACUAUAUCGCCCUUGGUAGAGUGCUGUGUUGUCACAGCUCACAGCAACCUCAAACUCUUGGGCUUAAGCCAUUCUCUUGCCUCAGCCUCCCAAAUAGCUGGGACUACAGGCGCCUGCCAAAAUGCCUGGCUUUUUUUUUUUUUUUUUUAAUCGUAGUUGUCGUUACUUAGCAGGCCCAACUGGGCUCUAACCCACCAGCCCUGGUGUAUGUGGCUGGCGUCAAGCUUACCCUUAUUUUUGAUGGUGGUACCUGAGAGAAUUCUGUAUGGAUGAUCAUUUGUUUCUCAGAAAUUUGAAGCUGCAACCCGCUGUCACUUGGAUCUGUUGUCAGUGUAAUGUCUGCUGUUUGUUUAUCUUUUUUUUUUCCCCCCUUUGAGACGGAGUUUCUGUCACCCAGGCUGGAGUGCAGUGAUGUCAUAACUCACUACAGCCUCAAGCUUCUGGGCUCAAGGGAUCCUCCCCCGGCCUCUCAAGGUGCUAGGAUUACAGGCUAAUAGCUGGAGGGCAAUUCACAUUCACCUGUGAACCUGUAUUGAUGAAUCCUGCCUUGAGUCUCACCCACUUGUAAUUUAGAUGAACUUUUGGGGUUUGGAGUUUGGAGUUGAUGGUGGCGGGAGUAAGGACUUUUGGGAUUAUUGGGAUGGAAUGAAAUGCAUUUUGUAUGUGAGAAGACGUGAAUGGGGGGGGCAGGGGCAGAAUGCUGCGGUUUCAAUGUUUGUCUCCUCCAAAGUAUGUUAAUAUUUAAUUGCCAUUGUAACAGUGUUAAGAGGUGACCCUUAACCCUCUUAAGAGAUGAUUAGGCCACAAGGGCCACCCCCUUCUGGUUGGUAUUGGCACUGUUAUAAAAGGCAGUUUGGCGUGUCUCUUGCCCUUCCACCUUCCGAGAUGAUGUAGCAAGAAGGCCCUGGCCAGAUGUCAGCACCUUGCUCUUGGACUUCCCGGCCUCCAGAACUGUGAGCCAAUAAAUUUCUUUUCGUUACAAAUUACCCAGUCUCAGGUGUUGUGUUAUAACAGCAAAAAAUAGACUAAUACAAGGCUGAAUAUUUGUGUUUCCCCAGAAUUCAUAUGUUGAAAUGUAAUCCACAACAUGAUGGAAUUUGGAAGUGGAACCUUUGGGAGAUGAUAGGGUCAUGUGGGUGCAGUCUUUAUGAAUGAGAUUGUCAUGGAAAAGGACCCAAACUAGAGGUUUAUUCUGAGCUAAGUAUAUGUGACUGGGCCUGGAGAACCACACCCAAGCUUUGAGCAAGUGGUCCCCUUGUGGUUGGGUAACAGUUCUUUUGUUUUUAUUUUUUUUGAGACAGUUUCACUGUGUCACCUUGAGUAGAGUGCGGUGGCAUUGCAGCUCACAGCAACCUCAAACUCUUAGGCUUACGCAGUUCUCUUGCCUCAGCCUUCUGAGUAGCUGGGACUACAGGUGCCCAC